rnacentral:rRNA from 1 species
UACGAAGGGGGCUAGCGUUGUUCGGAAUCACUGGGCGUAAAUCGCACGUAGGCGGAUGUGCCAGUCAGGGGUGAAAUCCCGGAGCUCAACUUCGGAACUGCCUCUGAUACAGCACGUCUUGAGUCCGGAAGAGGUGGGUGGAAUUCCUAGUGUAGAGGUGAAAUUCGUAGAUAUUAGGAAGAACACCGGUGGCGAAGGCGGCCCACUGGUCCGGUACUGACGCUGAGGUGCGAAAGCGUGGGGAGCAAACAGG